rnacentral:rRNA from 1 species
GUGGGGAAUCUUCCGCAAUGGACGAAAGUCUGACGGAGCAACGCCGCGUGAGUGAAGAAGGUUUUCGGAUCGUAAAGCUCUUUCGUUAGGGAUGAACGUGCUCUUUGUGAAUAAUGAGGAGUAAUGACGGUACCUAAAUAAGAAGCCACGGCUAACUACGUGCCAGCAGCCGCGGUAAUACGUAGGUGGCAAGCGUUGUCCGGAAUUAUUGGGCGUAAAGCGCGCGCAGGCGGGAUAUCAAGUCUGUCUUAAAAGUGCGAGGCUCAACCUCGUGAGGGGACAGAAACUGGUAUUCUUGAGUGUCGGAGAGGAAAGUGGAAUUCCAAGUGUAGCGGUGAAAUGCGUAGAGAUUUGGAAGAACACCAGUGGCGAAGGCGACUUUCUGGACGAUGUCUGACGCUGAGGCGCGAAAGCUAGGGGAGCGAACGGGAUUAGAAACCCGAGUAGUCC